UCCUGUUUCGAACAUGUCGCGGCAUCCGUCUUUCACUUGGUGGUCCUCAACGCGUGCACAUGUUUUUUUUUAAUGUUUAUUAGUGGGAGCGCAGUGAGUUAUAUAAAUGGAAACAAAAGUCGGUGCAGCUUCAAUUAUAAUGAGGUCCCUUGAAAGUAAAUGGCUGUAUAGAAUGUCCAACUACGUACAUACAUAUAUAUGUGUACAUAGUCGGAGAGAAAAUUGAGACGGGAAAUGAUAUCGGUUUCAUCAUGCUGACUUAAGUGAAAGUGUACCGUCUGACCGUACCAGGCAAAAUAAAUGCUGAUGAAACAUUUGGAGGGCAUUGCGCAAACAUGAUUAUUGAAGAUAACAUGGUUUGUUUUGCGAUCAAAAGGAAUGUAAACAUCCAGUGAUAUAUCUAAUGGCUUUGACACGUAUGGUUUUCCAAAAUUUAACCUGUUGCUGUUUUAUAGAAAGCAGAUAAAACGCCUGGUGGGCAUUACGCAUGAUAUGAAUAUUGGAGAUAACAUGGUUUGUUUUGCGAUCAAAAGGAAUGUAAACAUCCAGUGAUAUAUCUAAUGGCUUUGACACGUAUGGUUUUCCAAAAUUUAACCUGUUGCUGUUUUAUAGAAAGCAGAUAAAAAGCCUGGUGGGCAUUACGCAUGAUAUGAAUAUUGGAGAUAAUUGUGUUUCUGAUGCGGUAAAAAGAAAUUCGAACAUCCAAUCCUGCUUCCAAGGGUUUUGACCCGUAUGCCUUUCCAGUCCCAAGACGUAGAAAGCUGACGUAACCAAGGUGUGUAUUUUUGCAACCCACUCUUACCAGUGUGUUAAACGUGGCAAUAUUUCCAACUUAAACGCAAUCCGCUGUCAAAAUGAGAAAUAAUAUUUCCUUCACCCCUAUUAUCAUACGGUAGACGAUAAACGCUUGCAAUCGUAUCGUAUAAAAUCAGUUCUCGUAUUGUCAUUUUCAUGCGCCCGACAGAUGUAUUGUAAAUGGCUGAGGUUUUCGUCCAGUUUUUAUUAGCUUUGAUCCAAUACUUUUCGUGUAAAAUCUUGU